UUCCUCCUCCAAGGCCAGCAAAUCGCAGCUGACUCAAAUCCAUCUGGUCCUUGUCCCCUCUGAGAGCAGCUCUGACCGGGUGCCUGUGAUUCUUCUGCUGCAGUUUUGUGCUUCUCCUCAGCAUUGCCCAGCUCAUCUUGGUCAGCUUUUUUCCAACUUUGGAUAAUCUGACAAAGCCUGGACUCCACCCAGCAGCCAGAGCCUUAUCCACCUGUUCCUGCCUUCUUUCAGGAGACCUGGGAAUCUCUCAUCCACCCUCACGUGGAGGCCUGAAGAGCCCUUAUCUACUCACGUGGCCAAAAACCAGAUGGGAAAAGCAAGAAGAAAAGAGGGAACCAAAGGAUGUGAAAAGAUCCUGAUCAUCCAAUAAUCCCARGUGUUGAUGUAUCAUCCACUGCCCCUUCCCAGGAAACACGGAACUGCAUCCUGCUUCCUCCUCAGCAUCGAUCCUUAAAUAGGCAAAGCACAAACCAUGGCCCAGCAGCUCCAUAUCCAUGGAAACAUGGUGCUCCAGCUCCUCCGAGUCAACAAACACACCAGGAAUGAUUGUGCUGUCAUUCUCACAGCUCCAUCGUGAGCGGUGCUAGGAGACCCUCGGCUGCUGGGUGAUUGUGAUCUGUCGUUGCUGCUUAAAUAACCCUGGCAGAAGGGUAGCACUGCCUCAAUCCUGUGUUCCCAUUCCCAGAGUAACACCUACCACACGCUGCUGCAUUAAGUGUUGUUUGAGGUUUAAAAUUAGAUGGAUAGGCAGAUAAAUAGAGGGAUAUUUGGUGUCUUUGUUGCCUCGUAGA